rnacentral:lncRNA from 1 species
UCUCGUAAGGAUUAGUAUGUAGACUUGUGUACUUGUACUAGUAGCUAGUGAUGCUUUAGAUCUUAGCAACUGCACCUAGCUACCUCAUGGUUAUGUAUGCAUACCUAGUAUGUGUAUGUAACAGGGAAGCAUAUGGAGUGGUUUUGCCUCUUUGGUGCAUUUGAGACAACUAGAUGCCUACUGUACUAUGUUCUUGGAUAACAUUCCACUAACGCUUGGGGUUGAGGAUUUUGACUUGUAGAUUUUGGAAUGGCGCUGUAAUAUAUACAUUGGUGGAAGAGUUCUCCUCGCUGUUAUUGAGAUGGAAGUAAAUGGAUAAUUUAUCUCUGUAGCACCGUAGUCAAAGGAUAUGAGGGUAUAUCCGUUUCAGCAAUUUUUGGUUAAUCAUGGGUUCUUGGGGUUGUAAUUGACAUGAUUGGUGAGAGAAAUGUCUGAGUUUUCCUGUGUAAAGUUAGGUUGCCAACCGUUUGAAUGCCAAUAGAAAGUCACGAGGACGAGGAAAGAAGAUCAUCCUUCUAUGCCUCUCUUUCAUGCUUGCUUGGCUAGGCUCGAUUCACAUUGAUACAUUGAUUUGAAGUCAAACAAUUAAAGUCUCGUCGUUCUAAUCCUCUUGUUGUAACUUGUAAGUACCUUUCUAAGCACGUGUAGAUAAGCCAAGGCAUCACUUUCAAUACUAGAAGCUCCUGAAAUGACUUCUAGAAAGAAAAGAAAAAAAA